UUUUAAGUAUAAGUAUGUCCUAUGCAAUAUUUGGGACAUACUUAUACUAAAA
rnacentral:pre_miRNA from 2 species